UACGUAGGGCGCAAGCGUUGUCCGGAAUUAUUGGGCGUAAAGAGCUCGUAGGCGGCCUGUUGCGUCCGCUGUGAAAACCCGGGGCUUAACCCCGGGCUUGCAGUGGAUACGGGCAGGCUGGAGGCAGGCAGGGGAGAACGGAAUUCCCGGUGUAGCGGUGAAAUGCGCAGAUAUCGGGAGGAACACCGGUGGCGAAGGCGAGUCCCUGGACAACACCUGACACUGAGGCACGAAAGCUAGGGGAGCAAACAGG
rnacentral:rRNA from 1 species